UACGAAGGGGGCUAGCGUUGCUCGGAAUCACUGGGCGUAAAGGGUGCGUAGGCGGGUCUUUAAGUCAGGGGUGAAAUCCUGGAGCUCAACUCCAGAACUGCCUUGAUACUGAAGAUCUUGAGUCCGGGAGAGGUGAGUGGAACUGCGAGUGUAGAGGUGAAAUUCGUAGAUAUUCGCAAGAACACCAGUGGCGAAGGCGACUACC
rnacentral:rRNA from 1 species